GAUGAAGAACGUAGCGAAAUGCGAUAAGUAGUGUGAAUUGCAGAAUUCAGUGAAUCAUCGAAUCUUUGAACGCACAUUGCGCCCUUUGGUAUUCCUUAGGGCAUGCCUGUUCGAGCGUCAUUUAAACCUUCAAGCUCAGCUUGGUGUUGGGUGACUGUCCGCUUCACCGCGGACUCGCCUCAAAAUUAUUGGCGGCCGGUACAUCGGCUUCGAGCGCAGCAGAAACGCGAACUCGGGCCCGUCGUAUUGGCUCCCAGAAGCUAUCUUCACAAUUUUGACCUCGGAUCAGGUAGGGAUACCCGCUGAACUUAAGCAUAUCAAUAAGCGGAGGA
rnacentral:misc_RNA from 1 species